UACGUAGGGUGCGAGCGUUAAUCGGAAUUACUGGGCGUAAAGCAUGCGCAGGCGGUUAUGUAAGACAGGUAUGAAAUCCCCGGGCUUAACCUGGGAACUGCAUUUGUGACUGCAUAGCUAGAGUACGGUAGAGGGGGAUGGAAUUCCGCGUGUAGCAGUGAAAUGCGUAGAUAUGCGGAGGAACACCGAUGGCGAAGGCAAUCCCCUGGACCUGUACUGACGCUCAUGCACGAAAGCGUGGGGAGCAAACAGG
rnacentral:rRNA from 1 species